rnacentral:rRNA from 1 species
UUAGUGAGACCUUCGGAUUGAGUUUCGGAACUGGCAACAGAUUCUGAUUCUUAAAAAGUUGGUCAAACUUGGUCAUUUAGAGGAAGUAAAAGUCGUAACAAGGUUUCCGUAGGUGAACCUGCGGAAGGAUCAUUAUAAAUAUUUAGCUUGCCUUGGCUUUCAUGAGCCUUGGCUUGCGAAUCCAUUGUAUUUAAAACCCCACUCUUUUAAUAUGAAUCAUAUUUUUAUGUUAAAGAUAAUAUAAAGAUCACUUUCAACAACGGAUUUCUUGGCUCUCGCAUCGAUGAAGAACGUAGCUAAGUGCGAUAAGUAAUGUGAAUUGCAGAAUUCCGUGAAUCAUCGAAUCUUUGAACGCAAAUUGCACUUCCUGGUACUCCGGGAAGUAUGCCUGUUUGAGGGUCAGUAUAAUAACAAUCGAGAGUGUUGCUUUUUUUUUUAUUUGGUAUCACUUUCGGAAUUGAGUUAUCUUAACCCCAUGGUUUUAAGUGACUUAAAAUUAAAAUUUCAUACGUAUUUUAGGCGUGAUUAGAAUUUUCUAUUCGUCUCGAAUACUGGGAUGUUUUUAUUAGGCAUGACCAUCGUCAUCAUAAUGGUAAACGUGCCUAUAAUUUAUUUUUGAAAAUGACCUCAAAUAACCGAAGUAAGAAUGCCCGCUGAACUUAGGCAUAUCAAUAAGCGGAGGAAAAGGAAAUAACAAUGAUUCCUUUAGUAACUGCGAGUGAAGAGGGAAAAGCUCAAAUUUAAAAUCUGUUGGGUUUACCUAACCGAGUUGUAAUUUGAAGAAGCGUUUUCGGUGUUUAUUGGUUGGCCUAAGUCCCUUGGAAUGGGGUAUCAUGGAGGGUGAGAAUCCCGUACGGCUAAUCAUUACGCUUUACGAUACGCUUUCUAAGAGUCAAGUUGUUUGGGAUUGCAGCUUAAAAUGGGAGGUAAAUUUCUCCUAAGGCUAAAUAUUGACAAGAGACCGAUAGCGAACAAGUACCGUGAGGGAAAGAUGAAAAGUACUUG